CUCUGGUUGGUUAGCCCGUACGGUUCAUGUUGGCCCCAUCUCCCGGUGGGUGGGGCCGUGGGUCGUCUGGUCUGGGGCCAGGAUGGGGGUUGGGACUGGAGCUUCGACCGGGUAGGUCAGGUUGCGGUAGUGCCUGGACCUGGGAAUAUAGGAUGCGUGUGGUUGGGUUUGUACUCCCUCCUUUCUCAGGAUAUCUCACAUCUCCACUAAGUGUGGGGCCCACACCCCUGUCCUGCUCCCCUCUGCUGGCUGGCGCCUUGGCCAGCCGGUGCAUUAGUGGUUGUGAUGACCAAACCCAUGGCCACACUUUAAAAGAUAAAAGGGUUAUUAAACUUAACUCAGCUGGUGCCGUGAUGUGGAUCCCAACAUAUCGACUCGCUGAUGAGAGGAGCAACGCGCUGAAAACCCCUGGAGGUCUGAGUCAAGGACCUGUUGAAAGUCCCAGGAGGUAAUUUCCUCGCUGGGCCAGCGUCAUUUCGACAACAAGGGAUUGACGGGAUCCGACCGGGUAAGAAAGCCAAACAAAUCAAGUCCAUUUUAAAGCGAUCGGUUAAAGUCCGUCGUUCAGGGUUACGGGUGAUUAAAAGUUCCCCGCACAGGUGUGCAAGCGUUUUAAGUCCCUUGUUACGGGUGAUUAAAAGUUCUCCGAAAAGUUAAUCAAGAGUCUGAGUCCCUCGAAGCAAAACGGUUUAAGUCCGUCAUAUUUGGCAUUGGGGCUGUACGUACUGGAGGGUCGCGUUACGCCCGCCUGCUCUGAAAAUUUUAGUUUUGGCCCUAGGGGGGUUAAGGGAAACUCAGGUUAAAGUCCUGAAAAAAAGGGAAAACUCAGGUUAAAGUCCUGAAAAAAAGGGGAAACUCAGGUUAAAGUCCUAAAAGGUAGCUAAAAAAAAGAGGAUUAAGGUCCUGGAAAUUAUAUAAACACAACAGAAAAGUAAAAUAGGGGUUCAGGACAAAGUAGAAAGGGAAAUCCCAAAGGGGAUGAAAAAUUUAUGUAUCUGAUUGAUCCAAGUAAUUUAAAAUACUUGGAGAAGUGGAAGAAGAAGUAUAAUAUAGAUGGUGUGUUGAAAGUGAAUAGAUCGGAAAAUGUUGUGUGUCGGCUAGAAACAAGCACUGGUGCAAAAACAGGAAGAAAAAAACUGAAAAAAAUAAAAGAGCUUGAAAUUACGUGCUGUUGGUUAAAUCAAGCACAAAAAAGGCAGGAUGUGUGAGCAAAAAAUAAAGCAGACCGUCAGACAACUGUAAUGUUCAUGCACCCUGAAGAUAAUGAAACGCAACCGCACGGCCGUAGGCAGAGACAGCCCCGACCAGCAGGAGGGGGUGGGGUGGCCGAUGGAGCGGCGCGUCAAAGCCCCACUUCAUCACCUAUUUGGUCCCCUACAAUUUUAGGCCUGUGCAGCCUGCACAGUGGCACAGUGGGUAGCGCUGUUGCCUUGCAGCAAGAAGGUCCUGGGUUCGAGUACACCGCUGGG